CAGUGUGUGUGUGCACUGGUGUUUGUAUGUGCUGGUGUGUGUAUCUGUGUAUCAGUGUGUAUGUAUCGGACACACAGAUACACACACUGGCACACAGAUACACACACCUUGGCACAAUGAUU